rnacentral:misc_RNA from 1 species
AAAGUCUGCAUGCAAACCUUGCACUGGAUAUUCAUGGCUUUCUUGUUUGAUUCUAAUUGGCUUCCCUUGGCGGCAGCUUUCUGCUUCUCGAUGUGCUUCUCGCGAGCCAUCUUAGCCUUUUGUCCGUUGCCCCCUCCCAUUUUUCCCUUCGAUUAACGCGAAAUUGACGACCCCCGAAGAAACCCUAAUUCUGAACUUUCAGGGCAAAGACG